GCCUGCUAGCCGCAGUAUUUUGACUGUGCAAAGGUAGCAUAAUCACUUGUCUUUUAAAUGAAGGCUAGAAUGAAUGGCUUCACGAGAAAAUUUCUGUCUUUGAAUUUCAUUUUAAUGUGCAAAAGCAUUUUUUAUCUUAAAAGACGAUCAGACCCUAUGGAGCUUCUUCGUUGGGGCGACGAAAAUUGAUCCUAUCAGAUAGAUUAAAAGACUAAGUUACCCUAGGGAUAACAGCGUAAUUUAUAUAGAGAGCUCAAAUCGAUAUAUGAGUUUGCGACCUCGAUGUUGGAUCAAAGUUCCUUUAAGGUGUAGCAGCUUUAAAAGGGGGUCUGUUCGACCUUUAAAUCUUU
rnacentral:rRNA from 1 species